CUGAGAUCCACAUUGCAAGUCACUAACCAGAUUCUGGACUAGGAGCAGGGAAUGAUAGAGCUUGUAGGCUAAUGCCAGUCAGCUCCUUCCCCCAAUAACAGAUAAUGACAGGACUAGUAUAGAAGUUUACUGGAACAGCUGCUAAUUGCAUGAACUGAGUCUUGUGACAAUUCUGACUUUUCCCUUUUCUGAGAAUACCAUGGUAUUGUUAUCUUCUUGGAUUUUCUUUGCUUUUCUUGAAGUUCCUAUAGCUGAUAGAUAUUUAGGGUAAGAUAAGUUAAGACUAAGGGUUUGUAGUUUUGGGAACUUAGGACACAAGGAUGUUAUGGGAUGUUUUUCUUGGGUACAUUUAGGCAUUAUUGAAAAGGGGAAUAUGGGUUAGAGGACAGUAGGAUAGCAGAAGAAAUCUUUUCCUUUUCGGGAUUUUUCUAAUCACAGCAUACAGACUAGGCCAGUGGAUCUGCUAGCCUAGGCAAUGGAUGUGUCUGCAUUUGUUCUUGCAUCUGCUUGUGUUUGACCAUUUAUCUUCACAGGCCUUGAUGAAGACCAACCUGAUUAUGACCAACCUGUUUUUUCCCUAAAGUGAGCAGAAGUCUUGCUCAGAUGGCAGAACUGUGAAAGGACUUGAAAGAAGCACUGACAUGAUGAUUGUAUUUGUAUGGAUCUUUAAGGACUGUUGAUUUGUAGCUGCACCAUUCAUGAUAACUUCCUUAGCAACGAGGACGGACACUGCGGUUCAAACGACAGUGACAAGGCCCAUAUUAGACCUUUAGGUGCUUUUGGAGCAAACAAUCGGUGCUAUGGUGUUAAAGCAUCAAGAAAGGGCCGAGGUCAUCUGUUGUGGAACAACAGAACCGCUAAGGCACUUCCCACUGGUGUGUUCCUUAUUUGUGGUGAUAGAGCCUGGCAAGGCAUACCAAAGAACGUUUAUGGAGGUCCAUGUUAUCUGGGUAAACUGACAAUGUUUGCCCCUCAUCUUAGUCAGCUCAGGGACCUAGCCCGACGCCGGCCUAAGCGAUCUCUAAAAUUGAGUCCUAAUUGCAAUGACAACGUUCAAUUGUUAUCCACAGCUGCUCGUGUUGCCUUAGCUGUAUUUCUACCAGGAGGAGCAGCUGGAAAAGCAUUAGUACAGCUAGAGAGACUCACGUGUUGGUCAGCAAAACAAGCCAAUGUCACCACAAAGGUUUUAGGACAACUAUUGGUUGAUCAAAAUAGCCUUCGUCAUGCCCUAUUGCAAAAUCGAGCAACCGUUGAUUUUCCUUUGCUAGCCCAAGGACACGGCUGCCAGGACUUUGAAGGGAUGUGUUGUCUGAAUUUAUCAGAUCAUGGUGAGUCCAUUCACAAGAGUAUAACCUGGUAGAAAGGCCGUAUUGACAAGAUCAAAAAGGAAACAUCGACUUUUGAUGACUGGUUGCAGAACCUGUUUGGGACAAUCCCGGGGUGGUUAAGCAGCUUAUUAGGAGAAGGCUUACGGCUAUUUGUCAUUUUCAUAAUAAUUCUGCUAUGCGCUUGUAUUGUCUUUGCUUGCAUUAAGAAGAGCUUAACUAAGGUAGUUAGCCAGGUGUGGGUUGCUCAAAAGAAAAAGAGGGAAUUGUGGAAGAAUUUCUCGCCAGUCGAGGACAUAAAGUCAUAAACAUGGGUAACUGGCGCUGAGAACGUCCUUGGUUCCCAGCGAGGCUAGGAAAUCGAGAUGUAAACAACUGAGCACCCCACACACAGCUGCAGUGGGCAGAGACUAGAUAACCAAGGGGGCUGGAGUGGGUGGUCUGGGAGGCUGACCCUUAGAAUGUUGUGAUAAGUUAACCUAUGCACACCUUACAUGUAACUCUGGACCCUCUGACUGUAACCAAUCUUAAGCUGAGCACGCCUCUUGCUAGAAUGCAUAUAAGUCACUGUAUCACGGAAAUAAAGUGGAUUUGACCAUCUAACCA